rnacentral:piRNA from 2 species
UGUGAAUUAGAGGGCCUGUCCCCAUUUUA